GGGCUCGUGGCUUAGUUGGUAGAGCACCUCCAUGGCAUGGAGGGGGUCAGGGGUUCGAAUCCCCUCGAGUCCA
rnacentral:tRNA from 1 species